rnacentral:rRNA from 1 species
GACAGAGGGUGCUAGCGUUGUUCGGAAUUACUGGGCGUAAAGCGCGCGUAGGUGGCAUUGUGUGUCGGGUGUGAAAGCCCUUGGCUCAACCAAGGAAGUGCGCCCGAAACUGCAUUGCUCGAGUUUGGGAGAGGAUAGUAGAAUUCUCAGUGUAGAGGUGAAAUUCGUAGAUACUGGGAGGAACACCGGUGGCGAAGGCGACUAUCUGGACCAAUACUGACACUGAUGUGCGAAAGCGUGGGUAGCAAACAGG